UGACUGAGUAGUUGGUGAAGUGGUACAUGCUGUGCCUAGAGUAUGAAAAGAAAUGAAAUUGGAGGAUUCUCACAUCACACUAUGAAAUCUUUGUCACUUGUUUCAGUUUAGAGAUAUGCAAAGUCACUGAAAAGAAGCAAGUUGGAUCCCAGGUCUGGAGUAUGGCUUUAACCUGUCUAAAAAGAAUGUGUCUAUUUACAAGGGUCUUGGGCAGCCUGGAAGCCCAGGAAAAAGGUAAUCCCAGAGGUCAACCAUUCCAGCCGUUGAGCAAUUGCAAUUGAUCACACAUACACUCAUGGAGUUCCAGUGGGACCCCGAUGAGAAGGGCAUUGUGGUAAACUUGAGCUUCAUAAUGCUGCAGCUGCAGCAAUUUGGGGAACACUGAGAUCUCUCCAUGGCUCUUCCGAGCCUCUCAAAAACAUUUAACACAAUCAUCAGGAUUAGGGACCUGACAGCCAAGAGGUAAGUUUGGCAGCCCUGAGGCAUUUGCUUUUAACAAGCUCCCAUGAUGAUGUCAACUCCCCAAUUUAUAUCUCUAGCCCUCUUGCUUGAACUUCAGACUAUUGACAACUGUUUACAGAACAUCUGCUCUUGAGUGUUGAAGUGACAUCUCAAAUUCAAGAUGACCAAAACUUAACUCCUUCCUCUGCCCUGAAACCUGUUCUAUCUGCAGUCAUCUCCAUUCAGUUCAUGUUUAUGAUACAGCUAAAAUUGCUCAUCAGCAUCUAAUGAAGCAACGAAGCAACUUUGUCAAUCAGACAUUGUUGUUUUACUUUCUUUUUCUUCCAUAAACUUACUCUAUGGUAGUUCUUUUGUUAGUAUGGACUUUGAACUCUUCCUGGGCAUCUCCAGACCUGGUCUCUCAUCAAAAGGCUGAUCUCAUCUAAUUAGGGCCUGAGGACUGCAAGGGAGGGAAGAUCAAGGGGAAUCCUAGAAACCUGGAUUCCGUUCAGGCAGGAAAGCAGAUUGAUGAUCAAUGGCCUGGGUCCAUGCCACUUACUGCUUGUGAGACUAGGAAAGUUAUUUACUUUCCAGACGAUUCAUAGAUCAACCUAGGGGAGGGGGUGUUGAUUAAAUGAGAAUAUGUAUAGUCACUGAUGCAUAGUAAAAGCUCAGUUAACUACUGGUAGUAAUGCUUUAUCUUAGGAUAUUCUGAGCUAGAAAUAAAGUAAAAAAUGAAAUUGAUUUGGGAGCCUAAAGAAAUUAUCCUGAAAUGCAUAAAGAGAAACAUGUAAAAUACUCAUUGAAAAGCUGAAAUGGAAAAUGGUCAUUUUCCCAUAGAUAUUGGUGGUUCACUUCAUAAAUCUUUCUGAAUUAAUCCUUUAAUUCAGUAUGUAUUUAUUGAGCAUUUACUAUAUGUUAGGCUGUUAGGCACUGCUCUAAAUGCUGAAGAAAAAUCCGUGAGCAAAACAGGUGAAAAUCCCUACAUUUCUGAAGCUAACCUUCUAUUGGGGGUCAUAUAUUGAACAAAAUAAAUAAUACUACGGGUUGGAGGAAAGGAGAUGAUUCAUUUGGAGUUUUUAAGUAGAGUGAUCUGGGACCUAACGUCAUCUUCUGAGCUGGGGGAAGAUACAAAAAAAUCUUAAAAUAUAGUCCCAGCCCUCCAGAAAUGCACAUUUUGGUUAAGGAAAUAAGACAGGAUUCACAUGCCAAUUUUGGUGAUAGAACAAACAAGGCAUUAUUAUGUACAUGGAGACAAGCAAUGUUCUAAAAGGUCAGAGAAGCUGGGGAGCAGGAAGGGAUGCAGCCCAAGGACUUGUUGGCAUGAGUGGUCUGGAAAAGUCUCCUGAAGGGAGUGGAACUUAGCCGCGAAAUAGUGAAGCAAGUUUUCUUCCAUCCUUCCUCCCCUCCCGUUAGCUGCUGGGAAGCAGCUUGUGUUGCAAUGGGCCAAAAUGAAACACUAAUCUUGGCCUUUUCCAGGAAGAGGCUGUCAUGGGGAGAUACCGUAACGGGCAUAGAAAAACAAUCACAAUAGCUUCAGUGGAUCCCCACGUGACCUGGCCAAAUUGGCUGGAGAGGGAACAAGUCUUUCAGGUCAAGCUCAGGCUUUGAACUCAGUAGGAACCAACCCCUGCAGAUUCAGUAACACCUUCUACUUCCAAAUCUUUAUAGCAUGAAAAUCCAAGGGGGCCACAGAUUGCUCUGAGUUAACCACCAGGAGCUGCCAAUAGGAGGGUCCUCCUGCAUCUCUUUCUUAAGGCUUUGGGUUUGUACCUGUACUCUAGAGAUGUGGCCAAGCCCCACUUGUGGUCUGUGUUAGAGGAGCCCCAAAGAACACAGACACGAACCUUGGGGGUGGUAGCCAGGUGUAAAGUAGGGCUUGAGAAGAGUGAGUUCCUAGUACCCAUUUUAGAUUAGACUGCACAGGGGAGAAGACAGGCAGGAUGUGUGAAUCAGGAAAUAGAUUGGUUCUUUGGGCCUAAAUGAGUGUCAAAUCUCCAAAGAGUCAAGUACAUUAAAUUCAUCCCAGCUUGGUGAGGUAGGUGCUAAGUUUUUCUAACAAAGUAGAUGUUUGAAUAAUUGGGGCCUUAGAUGAGUCACUAUAGUGGACUGGGUAUGGAGAGGGGCAGCAUUAUUGAUCUCCUUUUCCUCAUUCUCCAUGUAGAAUUGCUACUAGAGUCUUACCUCUAUUUUCUCAUGGCUAUUUGGCCUUCAACUUGAAAUAGUAUCUAGUAUGAUGCAUGGGUUGGAUAAAGAUGUCAGCCCUUGUAAAAUAUUGCAGUUACUUUGAAAAAAGGCUGGAGUUCUCAACUGGGAUCCCUUCUUACCAGCUACGUGGCCUUGAGCAAGUUGAUGCACGUCUCUCAGGCUGUUUUCUUGUCUGUACAAUUGGCUAGUGUAAACUUCAUGAGGUUAUUGUAAGGAUCAAAUUAGAUAAUGCAUGUAGAGUAUAGCACCAAUAAUUGUUUAUUGUUAUUACUUUUAUUAUCUAACCAAUUGGAGAUGAGGAAAAGUAAUUAUUAGGGGACAAAUAUUGUAUAACGAGCCGACACAAGAGUGAGUGGAAACUGUAACUUGCCUACCAAUGCGGGCUGGAUUCACACUUAGCCAGACGUCUCCAAUAAUGCUCCCAGCCCUAGCAGAACCCCAGUUGCCCUCCGAAUGGUCACUGGAUUUGUCCCUUCCUAUCUUCUCUCCUUCUCCAAACCCGGCCCCAUAAUCCUGACCUUCAUUUCUGCUAGCCCUGGAAUCCUAUGAUUUGCCCUGCUCUUCUUCAGCUCCUCCCAACACUGCAGAUGUCUUUGUUCUCCUAUGCGUUUGGUCCUCCUCCUGCCCCUCAAUCCAAGGGUCCAUCAGUUUCAUGCAAAUUAGGAUCAUAUUCUCUUCAUGACCACUCAUCCUAGAAGGGAAAGCUUGCAAAUGUGCAGAUGGGUUUGGUGUGAGGGUCAGGAUGGACAGAGAAGUGCAUUUAUUCAGUCCAACAUUUUCUAAAUACAAAUUACAUUUUUUAAAAAAGGAAAUUAAAAUAACAAUUAAAUACCAUUUCCCCAUGGCAAAGGCAAGCAAAGAAUGACCGUAUACCCUGAGUAGGUGAGGAAUAUAAUUUGGUAACAUCUUUCUGGAGAGCAAUUAGGCAAUGUAUUUCAAAAGUGUUAACAUUUUCACAUUUUCUUUAUCCUAGCAAUUCCACUCUUAGGAAUUUAAUUGAGAAUAAGAACAAAGAUUUACAAGCUUGUCAUCACAGUAAUUGCCUGGAAAUAGUGAAAAAAUUGCAAAAGAUCUAAGUAUUCAAAAAUAAGGAAUUGGUUGAGUUAACAAUUUCUCUUGAAGACUUCUGCUUCUGGCCAAAGUGGAGUAAUAGGUUCAGAUUUGCCCUCUUGCCUGAAACAAUAACAACAACAACAACAAACACAAUAAAGAUAUAUGAAGGAAUGGUUUUCAAGACAUGGACAUCAGGUGACAAAUGACAGUGAUUCCUGGGAGUUGAGGAGAGUUUUACAAUUGCUCCAGCUUACAGCCCUGAAGAAGUUCCUAGGGCACAGUUCAGGAAGGUGGAACCCAGAUGGAGCCUGGAAAAUGCUCUGAGUUGAGGAAACAGAGAUAAGAGUAUGGGGAGACCAAAGCAACUAGAGUUUGCAGGAUAGAUGAUGGAGAGGAGAGAGGUGCACAGAGAGAGCCCAGGAGAUCCUCAGGGGUCUCCUCAAGAUCGGUUCAACUAAGUACCAAUCAGCACAUGUGUGUGAGGAAACCAUCUGCGAGGAUUAGAAGCAGCGCUGCUCAGUGCUCACUCAGGGCUGAGAACAGUGCCAGUUCCCACCUGCCAGAUUGGAAAGUCCCAUGAUUCCUGGGGCACUCAGUAGUUUGUACAGAAGGUCCUUGCCUCAGAAGUGGGCAAUAAAUAACCCUAGACUGAGCACUUCUCAGCACCCUUGAAAAAAAAAAUCAUAAAAUCAAAACCUGAGGAUCCAACUGUUUCCAAGUAGUUUAACUUAUCCCAGAGCAAAGUUCAAAAAUAUAUAUAGGAAUCCAAAAAUAUUUAACACCCAGCAAAGUACAUUUACAAUGUCUAGUAUCUAAGCAAAAAUUACCAGGUAUGAGAAGAAGUAGAAAAAUAUGACCCAUAUUAAAAAGGAGCCUAGGCUUUUCCCCUCACUCAGCUGUGAUGAGGCACCCCAACCCUUCCUUGCUGGGGUGAUGUGCCCUGUAAUGACCUUCUCCUCAGUGAUUAUGUCAGUGAAGGCCAUGUGGGGACCUGGAACUCUCACCCUCACCAGCUGUAAUGAGACACUCUACCCCAGUGGAGUGUCCACAGAGGCCAAGUGAGGACUGUGGACUUACACAACCACCUGGCAAUUAUGAAGCAGCAGUCCCCUUUCCUGACUGGCACAGUGUCAGACAGGGCCUGCUAAAACAGAAAAUUUAAAUAAGAUAUAAUGUCUUAUAUAAUUCCCCCAAAGCCCAGGAAUUAAUAGAAAAUCACUCAUCAUGUCAAGAACCAGGAAAAUCUCAACUUGAAUGAGAAAAGACAACAAAUGCCAAUGUUGAGAUGACACAGAUGUUGACAAAAAUUUUAAAGAAACCAUUAUAAAAAUGCUUCAAUGAGUAGUUAUAAACAUGCUUAAAACAAAUUUAAAAAUAGAAUGUCUCAGCAGGAAAACACAAGACAUAAAGAGGAGCCAAAUAGGCUGGGUGCGGUGGUUCACCCCAUUAAUACCAGCACUUUGGGGUGCUGAGGUAAGAGGAUCGCUUGAGCCCAGGAGUUUGAGACCAGCCUGGGAAACAUGACAAAUUCCUGUCUCUACAAAAAACACAAAAAGAGCUGGUGUGGUGGUGCGUGCCUAUAGUCCCAGCUAACUCAGGAGGAUGAGGUGGGAGGUUGGCUUGAGUCCAGAUGGCAGAGGUUGCGGUGAGCUGUGAUUGCAUAAUUCAAGAAGCUAAUGAACCUCAAACAGAAUAAACUGAAAAGAAAUCCAUGACAAAGCACAUCAUAAUCAAACUUCUGUAAAACUAAGACAAGACAGAAUGAGAGAAAUGACACCUUGCACAGAGAGGGAAAAUAAUUUGAAUGACAGAAAUUUUUCAUCAGAAACUGUGGAGGCCAGAGGGAGGCAUCACACAUUUUUCAAGUCCUGAAUGAAAAGAACUGUCAGCCCAGAAUCCUAAUUCAGUGAAAAUGUCAUUCAGGAAUAAAAGGGAGAUUGCCUAGCUAUAUUAAAACAUUAUAAUUUAGCCUAAUGUAAUUUUCUAGGCAGUUUCAGUCAGUUUUUUGCUACUCUCUGAUGUUCAAGAUAGAAAAAGUUAUUUUACAAGCAAGCUGAAUACAAAAUAAUGGAAAUAGUUUGUAAAACCAGUAUAUAUUAUAUGCCUAUAUUGCACAUGUUAAAGCACUCCAUUAUAAUACAGUAUGUAAUCUACUGUUUUUGAACGGUUUUGUUCAGCAUUUGGCUAUUUAAAAAAUAUUUAUAAAGAGAUUUAUUUCUUUCAGUUCUGGAGGCAGGAAAGUCCAAGGUUGAGGGGUUCACAUCUGGUGAGGGCCUUCUUGCUGUGUCAUCCCAUGGCAGAAGGUGGAAAGGACAACUAUUUGAACAACUAUUCAACCAAAGACAAUAUAUGGAUUGGAGACAAGAGGAUGCUCAACAUCAUUCAUUAGGGAAAUACAAACUAAAACCACAAUGAAAUAUUACUGGUUACCUAUUAGAAUGAUUAAAAUUAAAAAUACUGACCAUAUCGGCCAGGCAUGGUGGCUCACGCCUGUAAUCCCAGCACUCUGGGAGGCUGAGGCAGGCAGAUCACCAGGUCAGGAGAUCGAGACUAUCCUGGCUAACACGGUGAAACCCCGUC
rnacentral:lncRNA from 1 species